rnacentral:rRNA from 1 species
UGGGGAAUAUUGCACAAUGGAGGGAACUCUGAUGCAGCAACGCCGCGUGCGGGAUGACGGCCUUCGGGUUGUAAACCGCUUUCAGCCAUGACGAAGCUUUUGUGACGGUCGUGGUAGAAGAAGCACCGGCUAACUACGUGCCAGCAGCCGCGGUUAUACGUAGGGUGCGAGCGUUGUCCGGAAUUAUUGGGCGUAAAGAGCUUGUAGGCGGUUUGUCGCGUCGAUAGUGUAACACGCAGCUUAACUGUGUGACUGCUGUCGAUACGGGCUGACUAUAGGAGAGUAGGGGAGAAUGUAAUUCCCGGUGGAGCGGUGGAAGGCGCAGAUAUCGGGAGGAACACCAGUGGCGAAGGCGGUUCUCUGUACCUUUCCUGACGCUGAGAAGCGAAAGCGUGGGUAGCAAACAGG